rnacentral:tRNA from 1 species
ACUCUUAUAGUUUAAGAAAAACGGUAGAUUUUCUUCCUACAAAUUUCCUUCAAGGAAUAAGGGUU